rnacentral:rRNA from 1 species
AAAUUGAAGAGUUUGAUCAUGGCUCAGAUUGAACGCUGGCGGCAGGCCUAACACAUGCAAGUCGAACGGUAACAGGAAGAAGCUUGCUUCUUUGCUGACGAGUGGCGGACGGGUGAGUAAUGUCUGGGAAACUGCCUGAUGGAGGGGGAUAACUACUGGAAACGGUAGCUAAUACCGCAUAACGUCGCAAGACCAAAGAGGGGGACCUUCGGGCCUCUUGCCAUCGGAUGUGCCCAGAUGGGAUUAGCUUGUUG